rnacentral:rRNA from 1 species
UGGAGCCUUUGCACGCCCUCUUGGGCUGCCCCGCGACUCAAAAGAAGGGGCUGCAAGUCACUAUCGAGUGGCAACAUAAUCGAAUUGCGAGGAUCUCCUAAAGCCUCUCGGUACCCCCCCUAACGGAAACGUUAGGGUAUGGUUAUAACCCGGGAGGAUAGUACAAUGGAUAACCUGCAGCGAAGCCCCUACAGCGUCAUGCCAGGGGGACCGUUCACAGACUAAGUGGUUAUGGGUAGCUACGGUUACUUGAGAUAUAGUCGGCUGGGCUAGGCAACUAGGCCCUAUCGCGUUCCGUAGGUGAACCUGCGGAAGGAUCAUUA